UACGGAGGAUCCAAGCGUUAUCCGGAAUCAUUGGGUUUAAAGGGUCCGUAGGCGGUCUUAUAAGUCAGUGGUGAAAGCCCAUCGCUCAACGAUGGAACUGCCAUUGAUACUGUAAGACUUGAAUGCUUAGGAAGUAACUAGAAUAUGUAGUGUAGCGGUGAAAUGCUUAGAUAUUACAUGGAAUACCAAUUGCGAAGGCAGGUUACUACUAAGUGAUUGACGCUGAUGGACGAAAGCGUGGGGAGCGAACAGG
rnacentral:ncRNA from 2 species